CUAAGAUGGGAAUGGAGGCCACAUUCUAGAACAGGUGACAUCACCUCAUGGAAAUGUUCCAUCAAGUAGAAACAGAGAUGACUUCUCCAUAAUGCCAGAGUCAAAGUGAGAUAAUGGUCAGCACACAGAAGCUGUACUUCAGAGGUGGCCAAGGUUUUACCUCAUACUGGCAGCCAAACUUGGUAGUGUAAGAGUCACCCAGAUGGUACUGGUUUCCAAGGCUCGAAUGGGCCAUGGAGCACAGCUGAGGAUUGGCAUUGUGUGGCAGGGAUGGAGUCCCAGAAGAGGGCCAAGGAAAGGCUAUUGGUAAACGUGCAGCCCAAUUGCAGCAAGGGAUCCUGGAAGUUUCGAAGAUGCUGGUACCAAGAAGAGCGGAGAUGGAGUGGAGUCGGUGGGAACCUAGAAGACGGAUGGUGUGUGCUACUGGAGAAGAAACCCAGGUUCCUUGGAAAAGCCCAAAAGACGAACCAUGGUCUCCUGUAUCCCAGGCUUCGGACUUCACUUAGCCGAGGAUGACCUUGACGCUUUGAUCUUCCCGUUUCCACCAUCCUAGUGCUGGGACUACAGCCAUGUGCCACCAUGCUCAGGACUCUGUCUAAAGUGGAAGCAAAAGAAACUGGAAACAGCCCAGAUGUCCAGCAACCGAUGAGAACACAAUGAGAAGACGACACGUUUGCAUGAUGGGAUAUCAUUCAACUGUUCAGAAAAAAGGAAGUUAUGAAAUUUGCAGCAAGAAGAGCAGUGACUCACAAGACGUUGGUAUUAUGGAACUCUGGUGCCUGCCUGGGAUAUGGCCAGUGGCACAGGACAAACACUGCCCUGAGACCUGGAACUUCUCGGGAAGAAUGUCUCUAGGUGGUAGAGGCAUUUCCUCCAAUUCCUCCAAUGCAGACCCUGUUCUCAGUUCAAUGGUUGGCUGCGAGCAUUCCCCCCAAAUGGCUGUUGUCUUACGUUCCACUGUUGGGAUGCAUGUUGUACCCUGAGUGAAGCCCAUCUUUGCUCUCGCCCUUAGAGGAGCCUUUCAUUGUGCUGUCUUGUAUUCUCCUGACUGUUAAGACAUAUUAAGCCAAUUUCCUCCUGUUUGCUUCUCAAGAGGAAGAAUAGCUAAUUAGCUGUUUCGGUGAAGUAAUUCAUUAGAUCUCUUUUUCCACGGUCCAUAAUAAAGCAUGCCUUUGCCUUUCAUUUAUGUCUUGACCAA